UGGGGAAUAUUGCACAAUGGGCGAAAGCCUGAUGCAGCAACGCCGCGUGAGUGAUGAAGGCCUUCGGGUUGUAAAGCUCUGUCUUCUGGGACGAUAAUGACGGUACCAGAGGAGGAAGCCAUGGCUAACUACAUGCCAGCAGCCGCGGUAAUACGUAGGUGGCAAGCGUUGUCCGGAUUUACUGGGCGUAAAGGAUGCGUAGGCGGAUACUUAAGUCAGAUGUGAAAAUCCCGGGCUUAACUUGGGAACUGCAUUUGAAACUGGGUAUCUAGAGUGCGGGAGAGGAAAGUGGAAUUCCUAGUGUAGCGGUGAAAUGCGUAGAGAUUAGGAAGAACACCAGUGGCGAAGGCGACUUUCUGGACCGUAACUGACGCUGAGGCAUGAAAGCGUGGGGAGCAAACA
rnacentral:rRNA from 1 species